rnacentral:lncRNA from 1 species
AUGGCUACGUGCUCCUCCCUGCCUCUCAGAAUGGCCGGGCACCGCUCACUGUGCACCUUGCCUGUUGUCCAAACAACUCACUCCCUGCUGUUCAGACAAGAUGGCUCUGAGGCUCCAGUUUCUGAGAAUGCAAAUCUCACACCCUGCUCUCCAGGGGGAGCGGCUCUGACUCUGCCAGGGAGUGGCCGCUGGCUUGGGACCCCAGGUGUGCACAUUCAGGGGCUCUCUUCAGUGAGCCCCCUGACGGUCACACCUUUCCAUGACAAGGUAUCUGGGAAAGAACCAACCAAUGGCCCAGCCUGGUGGAGGGUUCAGAGACCUGGCAAAGAGGGGUUUUGUUCUGCACCCCUUGAAGGCUGGCAAGAGUGGCCUGCGGGGCCAUGCUGCCUUUCGCUUUAUCCUAUGACAAGCAGCUUUCUCCUCUGGUCAGGGCCUGAUGGCAGCAUGGUGGCUCCCGGGGCAGCCCCCCCCACAGGGGCUCUGCUCCCACACUUCACUUCCUUUCGAUGGCCUUGCUGGUCCUGGGCAGCUGGGAGGGUCCUUGCCAGAGCUUGGGAGCCUCCUGGGAGGGCCCAUCUGCCUGCUGCCUGUGUUGCUGCCACGGGAAGGGGCUCUUCGUGCCCAUGCUCUGCUCUGGCUGGCUUUGUGCGGUCGGCGUGUGGGCGGGGGCAGGGAGAGCUGGCCGGUGGGGCUAACAAGGGAGCAUUUUGGGUAGUUAAAUGUGUCUUUAUGCUCUUUCCUACAAAGAGCUCCACCCGCUCUCCCACAGCUCUGCGCUCCUCAAAAACGCCUCAGUGUAAAAGACCUGCUGGGAGGCUGCCACUGGCCGCUGCUCCCGGUGCCGCUCCCCAGCCUGGCUGCCGGCUCGCGGAAGGGGAGUGCUGGGAGCUGCGAGCUGCCGAGAGCCUGAUGCGGUUGUUCCCCAGGGAACCCAGAGGCUCAAGCCAGGAUCUACUCUCUUGGUUCUCUGGAAGAUGUUUCUGUGCUUCAACCUCCCAACUGUGA